rnacentral:rRNA from 1 species
AACGAACGCUGGCGGCGCGUCUUAAGCAUGCAAGUCGGACGGCAAGGGUAGCAAUACCCCUAGAGUGGCGGACUGGUGGGUAACGCGUGGGUGACCUACCCUUGAGAUGGGGAUAGCCAUUAGAAAUAGUGGAUAAUACCGAAUACGCUCUACGGACUGUGGUUUGUAGAGGAAAUCAGGCUACGGCCUGGCUCGAGGAUGGGCCCGCGUCCCAUUAGCUGGUUGGUGAGGUAAGAGCCCACCAAGGCGAUGAUGGGUAGCCGGCCUGAGAGGGUGUACGGCCACACUGGGACUGAGAUACGGCCCAGACUCCUACGGGAGGCAGCAGCUAAGAUAUUCCGCAAUGG